CCUACGGGUGGCAGCAGUGGGGAAUAUUGCACAAUGGGGGCAACCCUGAUGCAGCAAAGCCGCGUGAGUGAGGAAGUAUUUCGGUAUGUAAAGCUCUAUCAGCAGGGAAUAGAAAAGAAGGUACCUGAAAAAGCAGCGCCGGCUAACUACGUGACAGCAGCCGCGGUAAUACGUAGGGGGCAAGCGUUAUCCGGAUUUACUGGGGGUAAAGGGAGCGUAGACGGAAAGGCAAGUCAGAAGUGAAAACCCAAGGCUCAACCAUGUGACUGCUUUUGAACCUGUCAAACUAGAGUACGGGAGAGGUAAGCGGAAUUCCUGGUGUAGCGGUGAAAUGCGUAGAUAUUAGGAGGAACACCAGUGGCGAAGGCGGCUUACGGGACCUAAACUGACGUUGAGGCUCGAAAGCGUGGGGAGCAAACAGGAUUAGAUACCCGAGUAGUC
rnacentral:rRNA from 1 species